rnacentral:rRNA from 1 species
CUGGCUCAGAGCGAACGUUAGCGGCGCGCCUAACACAUGCAAGUCGCACGAGAAAGGGGGCAACCCCCCGGUACAGUGGCGCACGGGUGAGUAACACGUGGGUGAUCUGCCCAGAAGAAGGGGAUAACCUCUCGAAAGGGGGGCUAAUACCGCAUAGGACCACCGGGGCUUUGGCUCUGUGGUGAAAAGGGGGCCUCUGUUUACAAGCUCCUGCUUCUGGAUGAGCCCGCGUCCCAUCAGCUAGUUGGUAGGGUAAUGGCCUACCAAGGCUACGACGGGUAGCUGGUCUAAGAGGAUGGCCAGCCACACUGGAACUGAGACACGGUCCAGACUCCUACGGGAGGCAGCAGUGGGGAAUCUUGCGCAAUGGGCGAAAGCCUGACGCAGCGACGCCGCGUGGGUGACGAAGGCC